rnacentral:tRNA from 1 species
GCUGGCUUAGCUCAGUUGGUAGAGCAAUGGUUUUGUAAACCAUAGGUCGUAGGUUCAAAUCCUAUAGCCAGCUCCA